AUUAUACAAUUCUAAUGCAGAAACAACACUUGAUUCUCACAUGAGGAUGCAGUGAGAACAGAUGCAUGAAGUGACAUGAGUAUUUUGAUCAGUACAAGCUUGACAGAAGAUGUCUUUCCAGAGAAAAUAGGCUAAGGCAGAAGAGUUAACAAAUACUUGUUAUUUUUGGCACUCAGAGUUCAUGGACAUGAUUUUCAAAGUCAUAUCACUCAGCCCAAACUCAUGUAUGUCUGAGGUGAAGCACAACCCAGCGUUCCAGGCAGCAGUCGCUUUGCUUUUAGAGGAACAGGAUAAAAAAUACUUCACCUCAGUUAUGUGCCAGCCAUACUUUAUGCUACCUCCUGGUUUUAGGGAUAAAGGGCUGCCUGAAUUCAGCUUGUUAUGUGCCUCAAAAACAGUCACUGGUGCGUCCUCAGCUGGAGCAAAGCUACUUUUCCCUGUCCUGUGAAAGAGAACUCCGGGGUCUUCUGGUUUGUAAACUGUUCAAUAACCAAGGCUUUGAGGCUCAAGAGUGGCCAAGCAUUUUGAAUAAGGGUGGCAGAGAAGUGCAGCCUUUGGCUGCUGCAAGUGCUCUUGUUGGUAUUGUGCCUUUGCUGAUCUUGUUUCUUUCUCCACCACUAAUUUUCCCUUGUGCUCCUUUGAGCUGACUUGUUUGGUGGCUUUGUUUGAUUAAUCCGCUCUGUUUUGCUUUUAACUCCUCACCCUGUGCUGCAGAAUGACACAAAUAGGAAAAACAUUAACAGGAGUAACAGGGCUUCGGUGAAUCUGGUGGAUGCUCGUGACAUUAAACCCCAGCCUGUUGACUCCUGGGUCUAAUUUGCAUGCAUGGCCUAGAGUCCAACCACAUUUUUUUUUAAUUGAGGCGGAGAAAAAAACAUUGAAUUGACACAGGAUUUCAUCAGUCACCACUGCCAUUCCGAUCUGGAGGGCGCUGCAUCACUGACAAGGCUGCGGAUUCUAAGAAAAUGCAGGGAGAAAACACAACUGACUGCCAUUGCCAACCCCAGAGCACCAUGCCUUACAGCAAGACAGUUUGCUUUUUAAAUCAGUUACAUUCCCACCAGACAUAGCUGCCUCCUGCUCCCUCCCACUCCUGCAAGAGUAAAGCAAGCAAGAGAAGAGAAUCCAAGUUCCAUCCGGCUGGCUGCAUUCUUAGGUGACUCUUACAUGUGGAAGGUGCCAAGAAUGAGAAGCGAAGGUCGCGCAGCAGCAAAGAGGACAGCUUCAUAAGUGAACUGCAGAAGAUCUGAAACGAUACCUUAGGUGUAGUCAUGAAGAUAAUAGCACUUUUAUGGAUUGGAUCCCGUGGUUUUCUUUUUGUUUUGGGGGAUUUAUUUUGAACUGUGAAUCUAACACUUUUAAAGGGUUUUUGAAAAAUGCUGAGGUUUUCUUCGUUAUUUCAACAGGAAUUGCAGGAAUGUUGAGUGGGUUUAUUGAAUUUCAAUGAAGAGAAAAUACAGAACAAAAAAUACUAAAUGCUGGCCAAGUGAACUGGAGAGUAGAUAGCAAAAUUGAUGCAAGCUGUAUAAAUCUGCUUUUAGAGUAAGCUAUAUCAAUCACAGUGCUAUAGUAUCGUUAUAAUCUGAUGUACAGUAGUUCUGCCUUUUGAAUUCUGUAAUGGCUCUGCUUUUAUUUCCACAUGAAGGUUUUAAUGUCCCCGGUUCAGAAAUGUAUACUGAGAAAUGGAGUUGGCUGGCUUUUUAUUUUCUUAUUCUCAAAGAUUGCAGUAAGGAGCUUUUACAUCUUAAUCGUGUCAGUGUUACAUUGAUGACAACUAACAGUUUAUUUUGCUGUAGCUGUUAACACAUUGGAAGAAAUAGAAGCUUCUUCACAGGAUGUCUUAUUUUGAACAUACUAUAUGCAGUUUAGGUGGGUCUGUCAUUUAUGUUUGAUGGUAAAUUUAUCACUGUUGGAUCCAUGUUUGCUUUGGGCUAAAGAUCCUGGUGGAAAUGUCAUAAAGGGAACAGAUUAGACAUUUUUAAAAUCAUCAGCAUUUCUGUGUUCCCUUGAUUUUGUUUGGAGCUUACAUGUUCUUGGUGGUAUGAAAAUCAUCCACACGCAGAUGUUCUCCUCUUAGAUGCCAUGGUGUGCUCUGAUAAGGCAGAAUUUUUACCUCAUGAGAACAGAGAACUAUGCUGCAUCUACAGAAUCUGAUAAUGCCGUGAACUAAGUGACUUUAGAUCACUGAUUUCCUCCAGGCAUUGGUCAAGAGAGGACAGCAGAAGAGAAUAGGAAGGAAAUAUCUCACCAGUAGCAUCACAGGGCUUUUGCUGAUUUUGUUUGGUUGCCACAUUUAAUUCUAAAUAAGCUCCUAAAAGUGGUGUGACUGGAAAGCACAUUUUUGAGCCUAACAAACAUCAUUCGGGGUUUUCAGUGCCUGCCAUUUCCUUUGUAAUUAAAAAGGGGAAAUAUCCAAAACCUUGCCUCACCCAAAAUAUUACUGUAAUAGUAAACGUCUGAAGUUUUUGUUUAAAAAAAAAAAAAUGAAAAAAAAAUGAAAAACACACAAAAAAAGCAAGUACCAAGAGCUUUCUAUCUUCAUGAGUAUAUUGAAAAAUUGACAUGAAUACAUAUAUAUAAAUAAAUAAAUCUAUAUAUCUAUAUAUAUAUUGUUGUGCAGAGGAUAGGUUAAUAAAACCAUGUAAAGUAGUUUGCAGGAGAGGGAAGCAUUUGUUGAUUCAGGGAAAAAGACUGAUGCCAGAAGCUGUCAGUGGUUUGGAUGAUGCAUGUGCUCCUUCACCCUCCUCCCUUUUGACCCUCAUCUUCUAUGUACAUUGCAGUAGUUACUUCUGGAUCAUAGAGAAGGUGAAGUUGCUCAGAGCAAAUUAAGAUAGCGAAUAUUUGUGGGGUUUUCACCUGCAUGAGAGUCCUGUUGGACCAAAAAUGCUCAGCAGAUCAAGGGAAGCAGAGAUGCAUCUGUGAUUAUCAACAUCUGUGUCAGAGGCAGUGUCUCUCUAUGUGUAGACAUAAAGUGUGGCAAUGAAACCAGAUACAUAGUCUGACUGUAUAUUAUAUCAAUGGUGCUCUUUUCAUACUUGUUCUGCCAAUACGCGGAGACCCUUUUAACCAAGCUACACAGAAACGUUUUAUAUCACUUUUGGUUAUGUACUUGGUGUAUUCUUUUUGUAUAUGAAAGGAUUUUUUUAAAAACGUUCAGUAAUUAGCAAUGGAACCUGCUUUGUAGCUAAUUAGAACAGUUGAAGAAAAGGGCCGUGCUGUCAGUCUGUCCCUGAUCUACUUCAAACCAUAUAUUUACCAAAGGAGUCUGAGCAAAAGUUCAUUUAAAAUAAAGACCUGACUGUUGAGUCUCUGCUAAGACUUUGUGAUUUAGUUGUUGUACAAAUAUUUCAAAGCCAGCAAGAGGUUAGAAGAGAAAAGUGCAGGAAAGGGGGAAGUGAUGUGACUGGGGCCAGUUAUGUCCAUGCCGCCUGUGCCAGGUGUCAUAUGGCUCUCAGUGGGGCACUACAAGGACACUCAAAAUCUGUAUGGCUAUCUAUUUUUGUCUCUGUCAUUGGUGAAUCAAACUAAAAACACUAAGGAAGACUUGAGAAGCAAAUUUAGCCCCAUCCAACUUCCCCCCCGAAGACCUUUUCAUAUUUAUACUGCAUCCUCUGUCAAGCAAACCUCCCUGUCAGGUUAGAUGGAAUUGGCUGCCCAGGCUUGUUGUAGCAAACUGUUCUUCUUCCUUUUCCCUGGAAUAAAGUGUUCUUGGCUUCCAGUUGAGAACGUGGUUUAUUGCAACAAAAAAGCAAAGGAUAGUACAUAAUAGGUGAAACACCAAGUCCACGUGCCAAGACGUCCUCCUAGGAAACAACACCUUACUUCUGCCCUUCCCAUGCCUUACAGUAAUGAAUUCCUAGGUAUGUAGCAAUAACCAAUAAUGCAUCAUUUAUGUUACCUUGUUUGUUAUUUUUUCUUCUCACCAAGCUGUUGUUCAGAUGAUUAGGAAAGAAAAUGGAUUGGGAAUGACUUGCAUAUGAGACUGUUGCCUUGUACUAUCAGCUCACAGGCCAAAAUCUCUAGCAAGAUACUUUGAACUUAGUUUGGUGAUUUAUCCAAUGUCCUUUUCGUCUGUGGCCACACACCAACGUCUGGAAUGCGUUGGUGAGAUGUGUGUCCACACCUGUCCCUCCAUCCCUCCUCGUUACUGCAAGUGUGACUGGGCUGGUUGAGCGAUUCUGGAAUGUGGGUAAAUAAGCCAGUAAUUGUUGAGUUUGUUCUGGCAGCAGGGACAGUAUGUUAAGAAGGGAAAGUGGCAGUGUGUGUAACUAAUGCUGCAGUGUGGUCUAGAGGCUCCUGCUCAAAGGCAGGCAGUGCUUUUUAGGGCUCAGGUAUGUGACCUCCUCUUUUCCUGUUGGUUCCACUGUGAAAACUGGAGGCAGUCUGUCUGCAAAGAGCAGAGAUGUAUAGAAGAGAUUUAUACCUGCAGAAAUUUAAGUGGGAGGGGUGGUUGUGGAAGGAGAAGAUAGGUGUUGCAAGACUCCUAGUAAAGAGGAGGAAGAAAUUUGAUGGCCCAGUAAGGGCUGAGAUAAUGGGAUGGAAGAGAUUUCUGAUGGCAAAUAACUGCUGAACUUUCAUCCCAGGAGAUGGCUUGCUCACCGCCCAGGCAUAUUCAGUAGGCUGUGGAGGUUAAACAGAAUGGAAAACCAAGUAACAACACUGACGGGGCCACUUAACAUUAUGUGUCAAGACUGCCAGAGAAGCAUCAAAUUGGGCUGUAGAGUGGAUGAGUGAUCAAUCCUUCCAACUCAAAGGAUUCUGUGAUUCUGUUUGUGCAGCAUCCAGCAGAAAGGCAAGAUGUAAGGACAUUUUGUUUGCAUUCUGUGUUGGAGCUAAAAAGUAAUUUAGCUGUAAGUGUAACUUGACAAAUGAAAGAUGGUUGCCAGCUUGAAAUGUUCCCCAGGGAGCAGCUUGGGCAGCCAGAAAUCUUACAGGCAGAACACCUGAGUGUCCUGGUUCUACACUUGUGCGUUCAGACCCACAGAUUCUAAGUGUACAUAUUAGGAAAGGAAAUCUCAUCUCCUUUGCCAAGACUUCAAAAAGGGACUGACUUGGGGACUAGGAACUGACUUGUUAGGUGAUGCAUUAAGGGGGUGGGGGUGGCAUGUUUGUUAAAGCCAAUUAGUAAGUUCCUGCCAACUGAGAGCAAUAGUUUUCAGUGAUGACUUCUAGCGUGCAGUUUAUGCUGGCAAAGCAGUUUUCACUCCUACAGCAGUUUUGUUAGCUUGAAGGUGGUGAGUUACUUUCUGUUACUUGCCUUAAAUUUGAGCUUAUGGGCUCUGCUGCUUGUGAGAGAGAGGCACAUUUUAAGCACUUGGAGUAAGUGAAGCUUCAGAAGCCACAUGAAUGCAUUAUAGAUGGUUACAGUCCCUUCUGUCUAGCUGCCCACUCGCUGUAAACUGUAGUGUGCCAGUAAGUUCAGCCAGAAGUUUUGUCCUGUUGGGGUUGGAUUACACUCUCAGUUUUUGAAGGUGUUUAUAUAGGCAUAGUUUCUCGCAGUGUUUUCUUUUUAAUGCCCAUAAAAUCUGGUGUUUCCUUAUCUUUGUCAGAGAAAUCCUCUGAUUUAUUGGUACAGUAACUAAUCUAGUGCAUUUAAAGGGAAGUUGUUAUGAAUCUCUUUUAUUCUAUCUUAAGUUUUACAGCGGGAUAGGAUGUUAGGAAGUCCAUUUGCAAUGAGGAGGAAGAUAGUGCAGAUACUACAAGGCCUGCCAAUCUGGUUCUUACUUUUCAGAAAAACAAAGUAACUAUAGACUAAGAAGCUUACUGGUAAUUAGUAGCUAAUGUGUUUGUAACUAUCAUGUGCCUUAAAAUUUUCAUGGUAGGAGAAUAAAAAAGAAAAAUAAAUCAACAAUGUGUUUUCUGUAAUACUGCUCAACAUUCUCUCUGUAGUUUAGACUGGUGGGGUUUUGCAUUGUAUUUACACUGUACUAUAAAUUGAAACACUUAGAAUGGUUUGAUUUUGCCAGUAUGGAGAGGAAAAAAGGUGGAUUAUGCUUUUCAUGGAACAAAUGUUACCGUGACAGAAUGUAUUAUUAUUAUAGGAUCUUUCCAUAAUGCAGACAAGUAGAAUGCUUGUUAGAAAACCAGGUAUGUAGGAUAACAAUUUGGUGUGUUUUCAAUAAACCAUGCCUGGAAAGAA